AUCAACUUUCGAUGGUAGGAUAGAGGCCUACCAUGGUGGUAACGGGUAACGGGGUGUUAGGGCACGACACCGGAGAGGGAGCCUGAGAAACGGCUACCACAUCCAAGGAUGGCAGCAGGCGCGCAAAUUACCCAAUCCCGACACGGGGAGGUAGUGACAAUAAAUAACAAUACGGGGUUCUUUAGGAUCUCGUAAUUGGAAUGAGUACAAUUUAAAUCUCUUAACGAGGAACAAUUGGAGGGCAAGUCUGGUGCCAGCAGCCGCGGUAAUUCCAGCUCCAAUAGCGUAUAUUAAAGUUGUUGCAGUUAAAAAGCUCGUAGUUGAAUUUCGGGGUUAGUAAGUUGGUCAUGCCUUCGGUAUGUACUGGCUUUACUGAUUCCUCCUUCUUGACGAACCGUGAUGUCAUUAAUUUGGUGUUGCGGGAAAUCAGGACUGUUACUUUGAAAAAAUUAGAGUGUUUAAAGCAGGCUAACGCUUGAAUACAUUAGCAUGGAAUAAUGAAAUAGGACGUUAAUCCUAUUUUGUUGGUUUCUAGGAUCGACGUAAUGAUUAAUAGGGAUAGUUGGGGGCAUUAGUAUUCAAUUGUCAGAGGUGAAAUUCUUGGAUUUAUUGAAGACUAACUACUGCGAAAGCAUUUGCCAAGGAUGUUUUCAUUAAUCAAGAACGAAAGUUAGGGGAUCGAAGACGAUCAGAUACCGUCGUAGUCUUAACCAUAAACUAUGCCGACUAGGGAUCGGAUGAUGUUAUUUUUAAUGACUCAUUCGGCGCCUUACGGGAAACCAAAGUGUUUGGGUUC
rnacentral:rRNA from 1 species